UUACGGUCAAAUCACGCUGAAACACCGGUUCUCGUACGAUCACCGAAGUUAAGCAGCGUAGAGCCAGGUCAGUACUUUAGAUGAGGGACCGCUUGGGGGAACACCUGGUACUGUAAG